UACGGGGGGGGCAAGCGUUGUUCGGAGUUACUGGGCGUAAGGGUGUGUAGGCGGUUGUUAAGUUUGGUGUGAAAUCUCCCGCUCAACCGGGAGGGUGCGCCGAAUACUGAAUGACUUCGAGUGCGGGAGAGGAAAGUGGAAUUCCUGGUGUAGCGGUGAAAUGCGUAGAUAUCAGGAGGAACACCGGUGGUGUAGACGGCUUCUGGACCGUAACUGACGCUGAGACACGAAAGCGUGGGUAGCAAACAGG
rnacentral:rRNA from 1 species